AACUCACUAAUCCGACACGUUUUUACAAUUAGCGCCAACACUUAGACUAAAAUAAUGGUUUUCGCGGCCUACUUAGCCAAACCAAUACUUUCAAUAGCAUUAAAAAAAAAAUUCUUCUUUCCCCUUCUUCUUCGGUCUUCGUCUCCUCACUCUCUUUCUCUUCGCUCACCACCGAUCUCAAGAAGCUCACCUCCGAUUCAGCCCUCAUCUCAUCCGAUUCAUCCUCUAAUCAACCCGAUUCGGCCCUCAUCUCCUCCGAUUCAGCCUCACCGUGAUCCAUCCCUCCUCGAGUUCUCCGUCGAUUUCAAUCCCAUUUUAAAAACUGAAAGUGGGCAUCCCAUCGAUAGAUUAAAGUCUACUGAUUAGAACAGAUAUGGCGUUGUGGGAAAUGCUUGGAUGGUCAGAAGAAGAUCUAAAUGAGGUCUGAUACAAAGUCAUGAUAAUGUAUGACUAUUAGAGAAAUUCAAGCUUUUCAGAAGGUGCACACUGGAGUUGAUGAGUUUUAUAGCCGGUAGUGUUGAGUUUCCCAUUUUAUUAUAUGUUUAGAGUGUAAAAUUUAGAUGGUAAUCUAUGGUUUAAAAUGAUAAUUAGAGUUUGUAUUUUAUUAUAUGUUUGAGUGUAAAAUUAUAGGAUUCAGUGUGUGUUUUAGUUAUAUUUUAGUACAUCAAAAGUUUGUAUUUUAA